rnacentral:snoRNA from 1 species
AUCACAUGAUGAGGGCUCUUACGAAGUAACUCUUUGAAUCACUCCCAAGCCUCAUACAAAGACUCGUCCUCUAAUUUUUGGAAAUUUUUUAUCUCGUUCCUUAACUU